rnacentral:lncRNA from 1 species
GCUUAUGGAUAUGAAAAGGCUUUCCCAAAGAAGCCAUGGAGUAGAAUCCAGGUCUCCCAGUUCGUGAUCAGUCUUCCAUCUCCCUGGUGGGCCAGAGAUAUUUCAAGUUGGCAGAGUCAAGCAUGAGCAAGGAGAUGGUGUGGGGCAGAGUGUGAACCAUAUAUUCCUAGACCCCAGUGAUGAAGGCUAAAUGAGACAAUAUACGUCAUGCAUCUUGCACUUCCUGCCACACAGAGCUUCCAUGGAUACUGAAAGAUCAGCUGACACGUGCCUUCAAGGCUAAAAUGAAUGUGGAUAUCAAUAGUGAUGAGAAGAAAUGGUCUAAAAUAAAGAAACAGCAUGUGCAAAAGUGAAGAUUAUGAUGCUAUGUCAGUUACCUUCAGGACCCAAUUGUAGCCACUUCAGCUGGCCCAGGCUUUCCCGAAAUGUGAAGACAGCAAACUCCCACUCUUCCUCCUGCAGACUGGUGGCAAAAACACAAAGUCCACUUGAGACCAUGAAGUCCAAGGAUCUUUUCUUAUUCCUGGAAUAUACUAGGAAAAAUACAGGCACCGUGCAGCGGGUGCUGUGUUCUAGCUGCUCUGUUAACUGCCAGUUACCUCAUUUGAUCCUGAUGACAACCCUUGGGUAGGUAUUGUGGUUACCUCCAUUCUAUCUCUGGAAGAACUAAGAAUGGAGGUUAAGUAACUUUCCUGAGGCUCCUUAGCUAAGUCUCUAGGACUGGAAUGGAGCCAGGCAGCCUGACUCAAGA